rnacentral:snoRNA from 1 species
AUUCCAUGAUGGGGACAUUCUAGGAUGUAGUCUUGAAAGCGCUCCCAUGCUUCUGGAACAGAUUCAUCAUUUUGUUGCUGAAAACUUGUAAUAUUCCCACCGAGAGC